rnacentral:rRNA from 1 species
AAAGAAAGAGGGAGGAAUGAUUAACACAUGCAAGUCGAACGAGACCUUCGGGUCUAGUGGCGCACGGGUGCGUAACGCGUGGGAACCUGCCCGUAGGUUCGGAAUAACUCCCCGAAAGGGGUGAUAAUACCGGAUAAUGUCUUCGGACCAAAGAUUUAUCGCCUUUGGAUGGGCCCGCGUUGGAUUAGCUAGUUGGUAGGGUAAAAGCCUACCAAGGCGACGAUCCAUAGCUGGUCUGAGAGGAUGAUCAGCCACACUGGGACUGAGACACGGCCCAGACUCCUACGGGAGGCAGCAGUGGGGAAUAUUGGACAAUGGGCGAAAGCCUGAUCCAGCAAUGCCGCGUGAGUGAUGAAGGCCUUAGGGUUGUAAAGCUCUUUUACCCGGGAUGAUAAUGACAGUACCGGGAGAAUAAGCUCCGGCUAACUCCGUG